rnacentral:rRNA from 1 species
CCUACGGGAGGCAGCAGUGGGGAAUAUUGCACAAUGGGGGAAACCCUGAUGCAGCGACGCCGCGUGAGUGAUGAAGUAUCUCGGUAUGUAAAGCUUUAUUAGUAGGGAAGAUAAUGACGGUACCUGACUAAGAAGCUCCGGCGAAAUACGUCCAAGCAGCGGCGGUUAUACGUAUGGAGCAAGCGUUAUCCGGAUGUACUGGGGGUAAAGGGAGCGCAGACGGCAGGGCAAGUCCGCUGUGAAAGUCCGGGGCUCAACCCCGGGACUGCAUUGGAAACUGUCCGGCUAGAGUGCAGGAGAGGUAAGUGGAAUUCCUGGUGUAGCGGUGAAAUGCGUAGAUAUUAGGAAGAACACCGAUGGCGAAGGCGGCUUACUGGACUGUAACUGACGUUGAGGCUCGAAAGCGUGGGGAUCAAACAGGAUUAGAUACCCGGGUAGUC